rnacentral:rRNA from 1 species
AUUGAACGCUGGCGGCAGGCCUAACACAUGCAAGUCGAACGGUAACAGGAAACAGCUUGCUGUUUCGCUGACGAGUGGCGGACGGGUGAGUAAUGUCUGGGAAACUGCCUGAUGGAGGGGGAUAACUACUGGAAACGGUAGCUAAUACCGCAUAACGUCGCAAGACCAAAGAGGGGGACCUUCGGGCCUCUUGCCAUCGGAUGUGCCCAGCUGGGAUUAGCUAGUAGGUGGGGUAACGGCUCACCUAGGCGACGAUCCCUAGCUGGUCUGAGAGGAUGACCAGCCACACUGGAGCUGAGACACGGUCCAGACUCCUACGGGAGGCAGCAGUCGGGAAUAUUGCACAAUGGGCGCAAGCCUGAUGCAGCCAUGCCGCGUGUAUGAAGAAGGCCUUCGGGUUGUAAAGUACUUUCAGCGGUGAGGAAGGGAGUAAAGUUAAUACCUUGACUCAUUGACGUUACCCGCAGAAGAAGCACCGGCUAACUCCGUG